rnacentral:rRNA from 1 species
UACGAAGCGGGCGAGCGUUGUUCGGAUUCACUGGGCUUAAAGGGCGCGUAGGCGGGCGGUCAAGUCGGGGGUGAAAUCUUUCAGCUUAACUGGAAAAGUGCCUCCGAUACUGAUCGCCUCGAGGGAGGUAGGGGCAUGUGGAACUUCCGGUGGAGCGGUGAAAUGCGUAGAUAUCGGGAGGAACACCGGUGGCGAAGGCGGUUCUCUGGGCCUUACCUGACGCUGAGGAGCGAAAGCGUGGGGAGCGAACAGG